rnacentral:lncRNA from 1 species
AGUUAAUCCCACGCGUAUCGCGGACCGACCCUAGUACUUAGUAAACUUAACUUUCAUAUCCUUAGUCAUUUGCUUAACAUCAUAAUCAUCACAACUCAGCAAAAAAUUUCAACAGUUCAAUCCUCCAAACUUGUGUGAAGUACAAACAUGACGUGGGAUACUUAGACUCUGGAAAAUGAGUAGUAAUAAUACUCAAUUUAGUGACAACGUGAAGGAAGAUCGCUGCAUCAUCGACAAGAUCUAUUAACCUGAUAUGCAAUUUCAUUGCCACACGUCAUGAUUCUUGCUGAGAACCUAAACAUUUUAUAGAUUUACACAACCUCAUUCCUCCAUAACAUCUUCUUAAAUGAUUUUUUUUUGGAAAUUAUCCAAUGAAUCCAGUU